AUGUAUUUAUUUAUUUAUUUGAGGGCAGCCCAGGUGGCUCAGCAGUUUGGCGCCGCCUUCAGCCCAGGGCAUGAUCCUGGAGACAUGGGAUCAAGUCCCGGGUCGGGCUACCUGCAUGGAGCUUGCUUCUCCCUCUGCCUGUGUCUCUGCCUCUCUCUCUCCUCUCUGUGUAUUCUCAUGAAUAAAUACAUAAAAUCUAAAAAAAUAAAAAAUAAAAAAAAUAAAGAUUGUAUUUAUUUAUUUGAGAGAGACAGCAUGAGAGGGGAGAGAGGCAGGGAGAAGCAGGCUCCAUGUGGGGUUUGAUCCCAAGACCCUGAGAUCAUGACCUUUGCUGAAGGCAGAUGCUUAACUGACUGGGUCACCCAGGCACCCCAAAGCAUAUAUAUUUUUUAAAGACGUAUUUAUUUAUUUGAGAGAGAGAAAUUGAAAGAGAGAGGGGAAGGGACAGAGGUAGAGAAUAUCCAAGCAGACUUCGGCUGAGCACGAAGCCUGACUCAGAGUUCAAUUCCAUAAAUCAUGUGAUCAGGACCUGAGCCAAAACCAAGAAUCAGAUUGAACCCAUUGAACCACCCAGGUGCCCCAAGCCAUUUUACUUUAGCUGGUUAUUUUUAACAAACAGAAGACACAGUGAAGCUCUGAAACCUGAGAAGUUACCCUCUUAAAAGAAAGUUGCAUUUAUAAGGCAAAUCUCUGUUUGUAAGGGUUCCCCACCCCCUCAACCAGGAAGAGCAGGAUGACUCUAAAUCUCCAGAAAUUCUUAUCAAAGCAGAAGACAAUGACUUAAAUCUGCAUAACAACGUUACCCUUGUUUACUGUGGUUUUCCUGACAACCUCCCAUUACUGGCCUUUCCCCUCACCCCUCAAUCUUUUGUCUUCAAUUGGAGAUGUUAUUUAGGGUGGUGGCUUGGACCACUGGGGGACUUACUCAGCUUUCCUGGGUAUCUGUCUUAUAUACAGGAGGUAAACUUUCUUUUUUUAAUUUUUCUUGUGUAUUUGUCACUUAUUACAGGGGAUGUCUCAGCCAAAAAUCUAGAAGGGUAAAAAGAAAAUUAUUUUUCCUCUUCUACAACUUCUAGGAAUGCAACUCUCCUCCUUGGCCUAGUCAUAAUCACAAUAUCUCCAAAUCUUGAUUACGGUUAGAGAACAAAGCAGAACAAGCAAUGUAAUGGAGAUUAUCUCCAGGGACUGAUGUUUCAGACUUAAUUCCCAAAAGGUUCAGCCUGGAGAUCAGAACAAAUAUCAAGUCAUCAUCCUUUUCCAGAGAAAAUAAGCUGACUUGCAGAAAAUUAGAGGCAAAGGAAGAUCUAGAACUAGAUCUUGUUUUAUUUUCCUCAUCUUGGGUAUCCCCCUUCUAGCCCUCUAUACAUAGGAUGCAACUUGCCACAGUGUCUGAACACCUUGACACACAGUCCUAUCACCCCUGUUCUCCUCCAAAGAAACAGGGAGGUGGGACUCAAUCCCCACCUCAGGGACCAGGUCACAGAGUAGUGACAUGGUUCUCUCAUCCGCAUAUCUCCUUUACAAGGAAUUAAUUCCCUAAGAAAGCAUACUUUUCGGAUUUGGAAGUACCUACAAAGUAAAAUAUUUUAGCAAAUAUUGCUAAACAAUGUAACAAUUGGCUUAUGAGGCUAUUUUCCCCACAUUUCCUUGCCAAAAUACCUUUAAAAUUGUGAUUAGUCCAUGAUUAUUUCUGGGUUAUUAUCCUUAAUUUGCUAACAACUUUACUAACAAAACGGUAAAAAAAGAAGUUUGGAGUUUAAAACAAUACAUUUUUAAAGUGAUUUGUUGGGACACCUGGGUGGCUGAGCGGUUGAGCAUCUGCCUUCAGCUCAGGGCAUAAUCCCGGAGUCCCACAUAGGGGUCCCCACAGGGAGCCUGCUUCUCUCUCUGCCUGUGUCUCUGCCUCUCUCUGUGUGUCUCUUAUGAAUGAAUAAAUAAAAUCUUUUUAAAAAAAUAAAUAAAUAA
rnacentral:lncRNA from 12 species